rnacentral:lncRNA from 1 species
GGUCCUGAGUUUGUGCGCAAACAUAUCUUCAACAAGCAUGCAGAGAAAAUUGAGGAAGUGAAAAAGGAAGUCGCGUUUUUUAACAACUUCCUCACUGAUGCUAAGCGCCCAGCUCUGCCUGAGAUCAAGCCAGCCCAGCCACCUGGCCCCGCCCAGAUACUCCCCCCAGGUUUGACCCCAGGACUCCCCUACCCACACCAGACUCCCCAGGGCCUGAUGCCCUAUGGUCAGCCCCGGCCCCCGAUCUUGGGCUAUGGAGGAUGGUUCGUGGAGACCCAAGGGCCAUUGUGGAAUAUCGGGACCUGGAUGCCCCAGACGAUGUUGAUUUCUUUUGAGCCGUCCCCCGUUCCUCAGUCCUGUAUCAUCCAUACUUGUACUACCUUGUCCUAUGAAGCUCUGAGAAUUUUUUGUACGAUCAGCCUUACUGCUAAUAAAAGCACUUCCAC